rnacentral:piRNA from 1 species
UUGCCUCAGCACCUAGGUAAUCCUCCGCCCG